rnacentral:lncRNA from 1 species
UUAGCUUUAAUCGGUCGAGUAGCUUAUUCGAACGUUGUGAAGUUAUUUUCCAUUAAGAAAAUAGCCUCUUAUAUUGGGUAUGUUUAACACUAUUGAGGGGUAAGUGCACGAUUAGUCACUAAUAAUACAUGUAUUUACUUUUAAGCCUUUGUUUAAAAUAUUUUUAGUCUUUAGCCACUACUUUAAUAAACUUUAACUGCCCGGACGAAAAUAUCCUUCUGCUCAUGUCCUUAACUUUUGAACUUAACUUCAGGAUUACAUGUACUUAACUUUUGAACUUGGAACUCUAAGUUAAAGGACUUCAUGACUAUAUGUCCUUAACUGAAAAUCUAAGUGAGGACUUCAAGACUACAUGUCAUUAACUUUUGAACUUGUAACUCUAAAUUUAAGACUUCAGGACUACAUGUCCUUAACUUUUGAACUUGAAACUCAAACUUCAGGACCAAGCGUCUUUAACUUUUGAACUUGUAAGUCAAAGUUAAGGACAUCUUGUAACUGUAAGUUAAGGACUAUCUGUUCUUAAUUUUUGAACUUGUUAGUCAAAGUUCAGGACCAAGUGUCCAUAACUUUUGAGCUUAUAAGUCUAAGUUCAUGACCAAGUGUCCUUAACUUUUGAACUUGGAAUUCAUUAAGGACUAAGUAUCCUUAACUUUUGGAACUUGUAAGUCAAAGUUCAGGACCAAGUGUCCUUAACUUUUGAACUUGGAACUCAAAGUUAAAGACCAAGUGUCCUUAACUUUUGAACUUGGAAUUCAAAGUUAAGGACCUAUUAUCCUGAACUUUGAAUUUGGAACUCAAACUUCAAAACCUAUUGUCCUUAACUUUUAAACUUAGUAACUAUAAGUUCAGGAUCUACAAUCCUUAACUUUUGAGCUUGUUAGUCUAAGUUCAAGACCAAGUGUUCUUAACUUUUGAACUUAUAACUCUAAGUUAAGGACUGUCUAUUCUUAAUUUUUAUGCUUGUAACUCUAAGUUAAGGACCAAAUGUCCUUAAUUCUAGAACUUCCAACUCUAAGUUCAAGACCCACAUAAACGAAGAAUAGAAUUGAUUCAUUGAAAUAUGAAAACUCAAUUGGUAUUCUUGCAACUAAUCUUCCACUUCCAAAAAACAGCAUAAAACUAUUAAUUCACUCCACAAAGUGUCUUCAAAACUUCUUUUAACAAAUACCCCAUUUGCAUUAAUUUUUGUUUGUGAAUAUCUCAAAUAGAGAAAAGAGAACCACUUGUUUGUGUUUUACUUUUCCUUUUCUUGUAUUUUUCGGCAAAAAAUUAUAGAUUAAAAACUAACUUCCUUUGCAAGAGUCAUGCUCAGCUUGUUUAGUUCUUAAUCAAGAAACCAGAGCCAAUGUAUUUGAUGCAGAGUGAGAAGCGAGGGUUUGAGAAGAAAAAUAAUGGAAGAAAGGGUAAAAAUAUCUUUUCAUAUUAAUUUUAAUAGAGUAGUGAUUAUUUUUUCUCAUCAUUAGAAUUGCUGUAUAAAAAAUAAAUACCUCCUUAAAGAGUGGUUACCCGUGCCCUUUUUAUCACUAUUGAUUUCAUUAAUGUUUAUCAAAAGCUUAUAACAAAAAGGGUUUCCUCGAUCAUAAAAGAAAAAAAGAAAAAGCAGACAGGAAGAGUUUGAUUCUUUAAACAAGCAGGUUUUGGUUUCUUUUUUAGCACCCUAAUUCUCUACUUGACUUUGAUACCAUAAAAUAAAAUAGAAAAAAGAACCUUCAAAAAAAUAAAUAAUUAAAACCAUUUUCAAGAGACAAACUCCAAUGAACCCCUUUCCUCCCAUUCAUUACUUUUUAUCAAAAAUUUGAGAGAAAAAGAUUCAACUAAAUACAUCACCAAAUUACCAUCAAAUCCUAAAGAAUGCAACAUCAAAAUCUGAAUCAUACAAAAAUAACAUAAAUUGCACCAUUAAAUUUGCC